rnacentral:rRNA from 1 species
GGGCCCGCACAAGCGGUGGAGCAUGUGGUUUAAUUCGAUGAUACGCGAGGAACCUUACCAGGGCUUAAAUGUAUUCUGACAGCUUUAGAGAUAGAGUUUUCUUCGGACCACUUACAAGGUGCUGCAUGGUUGUCGUCAGCUCGUGCCGUGAGGUGUCAGGUUAAGUCCUAUAACGAGCGCAACCCCUAUCGUUAGUUGCCAGCAAGUAAAGUUGGGUACUCUAGCGAGACUGCCGGUGCAAACCGAGAGGAAGGUGGGGAUGACGUCAAAUCAUCACGGCCCUUACGUCCUGGGCUACACACGUGCUACAAUGGCCGGUACAGAGAGCAGCCACCACGCGAGUGGGAGCGAAUCUUCAAAACCGGUCUCAGUUCGGAUCGCAGUCUGCAACUCGACUGCGUGAAGCUGGAAUCGCUAGUAAUCGC